rnacentral:rRNA from 1 species
AAAGAUACCCCGGUAGUCCACGCCGUAAACGAUGAGUGCUAAGUGUUAGAGGGUUUCCGCCCUUUAGUGCUGCAGCUAACGCAUUAAGCACUCCGCCUGGGGAGUACGGCCGCAAGGCUGAAACUCAAAGGAAUUGACGGGGGCCCGCACAAGCGGUGGAGCAUGUGGUUUAAUUCGAAGCAACGCGAAGAACCUUACCAGGUCUUGACAUCCUCUGCCAACCCUAGAGAUAGGGCGUUCCCCUUCGGGGGACAGAGUGACAGGUGGUGCAUGGUUGUCGUCAGCUCGUGUCGUGAGAUGUUGGGUUAAGUCCCGCAACGAGCGCAACCCUUGAUCUUAGUUGCCAGCAUUCAGUUGGGCACUCUAAGGUGACUGCCGGUGACAAACCGGAGGAAGGUGGGGAUGACGUCAAAUCAUCAUGCCCCUUAUGACCUGGGCUACACACGUGCUACAAUGGAUGGUACAAAGAGCUGCGAACCCGCGAGGGUAAGCGAAUCUCAUAAAGCCAUUCUCAGUUCGGA